GGGCAACACUAAUCUCGCUGGCGAACAGCAACUCUGGGGCAUGGGACUGAUGGGAACUUCGGCCAUACUGCGGCUGCAUGGUGCGGAAAUGUCCGUACUCGUAAGGCACUUGAACGUACACUCGCAAGUGUACGUAAAGUGAGGGUAUGCCUGUAUGUUGUGCAACCAUAAUUUACCUCUGUCAUAUUACGUGCACCCACACUUAUAUAUCAUUUAUAUAUGAAAUGAAAGCCGUUUCUCCUGAACAAAAUGUUACAUAAUAAGUGUGGGUGCAUGUAAUAUGAAAGAGGUAAUAUGUGUAAUUCAUUG